CCUCCUUAGGAACCAGACUGAAUCCGACCUAAGCUGGGCUGGGUCCAGUGUGAGGCCCAGGUGAAUAACAUUUUGCUUUAAGGCUGAACAGGGUUAACUUUACCAAAGAUAAUCUUGAAUUAUGGAGACCACUACGGAGAACUUUUAACCAUUUUAGAUAAGCUUAUCCAUUUAGGAGGUGCCCUGGAGAUAAAGGUGUCUUGGCCAGGCACUCGCUGUAAAGGGUAGAGGGAAAACUACUUUUCCUCUUCCAGAGUGUCUGGUGCCCCAGAGCAGAUCUCCUGGGACAUCAACUGGCUCUGGAGCCUGCACGUGGGAUCCUUGGAGAACUGGCAGAAGCCAGCAAAGGGGUUUCUGGAACUUACCAGAUGAGUAAGGAAGGUCACUUCCUGGAAGGCACGGGAACCUCAGGAUAUUUGGGGACUUCGAGAAGAGAGGAAUUCACCCAAAUCUUUAUCCAACAUUUCCCUCUUCUACUUGCCUCAUUCUGACAAAGGAAAUCAGACUGAAAUAAACAUGUGGGGAGCAUCCUAGAAGAAGAAAGAAAUAGAGAACGAAUAUUGCAGCCCUGCCCUGGUGUGGAUGAAAAGGAUUGACUUCCCACUGUCCACACUACUUGCCUUGGGCAGUGUUCUACCUACCAACUAAGACGGUCUUUUUUAAAUACAAAUAUUUUAUGUCAUCAUGAACCCUGGCACAGCAGCCUCCAUUAAGAGCUUGGCGUGGUGAGAACAACAUGGACACAGGGAUCAGAUGGGCUAGAAUUCAAAUAAUGCCUUCACCACCUUCAAGCUGUGUAACCUGGGUCAAAUCACACAGCUCUCUAUGCCUUGGUUUCAAGAUUUAUAGAAAGGGCAGAAUGGUAAAUGAACACAGGGUUUGUGGUUGAGAGACUAUAUAAUAACAUGCUAAGAGCACAUGCUCUGAAGUUGGACAAAAGAGUCCAAAUAUUGGCUCCUCUUCUUAAUAGCUGUGACUUUGAGCAGGUGACUUAAAUCUCCAGGAUAAACAAGAAGUAUGAGUAUGAUCAUACAUAUCUCGUGGGUCACUGUGCAGAGUAAAUGAAAUGAUGCAUCUAAUGCUCUUGACUAAGCACUGGGCUUCUACUAAGGGCUCAAUGAAUGCUAGUUACAUGAAGCAUCGGUAGAUGCUUGAUAAACCAGUGGGAAAUAAAAUGAGAAGGAGAAAAGAGAAGUUUGGGCAAAGUGUAGUCCCACAAAGCGAUGCGUCUCCUCUAUGACAGUCCUCUCUAAACCUAGUGAAUUUCCAUUGUUGGGGAGAAGCAGGGAAGGCAGACCACAUUAGGAUAAUUGUUUUCCUUGGAAGCUGAAAAAUCAGUUUGCCUCCGGCACCUCUAAUUACUGCAACUUUAGUGCAAUCCUCAAAUCCCACUGAAAUAGGGAAUAGAACUUAAAAGGUACAAGAGAAGAGAAGGGAGAGCUGAGGAGGGGAGCCAAAGUGCUUCAGGCUUCCGUGGAUCCUGUCUGCCAUAUCCCCACCCUGUCUUGGUCCCAUGCCUCUGCAAGCUUCCUCUCUUUCUGUACCUGUCAGGGAAAAUCAUCUUUGUCUCUGCAGUUGACUCUGGAACGCUUUUCUUUUGUCUUCUUCUCUCUUCUUUUGGCAAGUGCAGGAGAAGAGGGAAGAGCAUGCUGAGGCACUGAGAGAGACACCCCAGAGGACUAAGAGCGUCGGGCUUGAUGCUGGACUGAAAAUACAAACAAUACUGCUCCCACUCAAGGUUCUCACACAUCGCAUGGCUGUAACUGCCUCGUUACCUCUGUGUUUUCACCAGGCAGUAGGGCAGAGAUCUGGGCCCCAGGGUCAAGACCACAAGCAGCUAGAUUUGGUAUAACUACAGGCCCAUUAAUGGCUUUAGAAUUAAUCUGUUUGAACCUCAGUUUCCACAUUAGUAAAAUGGGAUGAGAUCUGUAAAAUACUCGGCACCAUGCUUGACAAAAUGCUUUUCUCUCCU